rnacentral:lncRNA from 1 species
CUUCUCUGAGUGUUGAAUUUUAUCCCAUGUAAUGUUCUUUAUCCUAGAAUGACUUGGAUGUUGCCAUUCCCCAUGAAUGAUAUUACAGGUUACCUCUGGUGUUUGAUCAAGGUUCCCUAACAUAUUAUGUUUCUAGACCUAAAUCCUGUCCUGCAUGGAGCAAAGAACUGUAAAAGCCGAGUGCCAUGCCCACGGGCACAAACCUAUUUCACAGCCAGGGCUUGAGUUGCAACCUUGGAAUAUGGGUCGUGCUCUUGGGUCCCACAAAAUCAAAGACGUAGGUGUGAAAUCACGUACACCGCAAUGGACAAUUAUCUAGAGAAGAUUCAGUGUUAGCAAGCAUAUGUUCUCAAAAGUAAACGAAAUACAGAUAAGGAAGUCACUCCCGCAAUAAAAGAUGGCAAUUGCCCUUCUCCAUCACGGAACACCAAGAAGAGGAUUUACUGUAGGCAAAAUCCCAGCAAGACCCUCAAAGAGAGUGAGAAGAUGGAAAUAUGCAACGAUGUUUGAGUUAUGGUACUUAUUUGUUGAAGAAUUCACUCGACCACUCGACUCAAUCAAACUGUAUUUUGACUAAAGGCGUUCAUCUCAUUGCUGAAACUCGAUCUUCAAACAUCCUAAACUUUCAAGGCCUGGGGAACGUUCAAUCAGGUCAUCACCAAUUGCCCCAAUUUCGUUUAAAAUUCAAUAAAGGAUUUCGAGGGAAGAAUUAAAAAUAAACAAAAUUAC